GUACUCUCACACUCCCAAUUCUUUUGGAUUGGGAGCGGUGGACUUGGGUGUUGCUGCUUUACGGUGGCUCGCCUCAAAUGGAGUAGUGCAACUCUCGGUUGGACAUAGUACGGCGUGAUAAGUAUCUUCGCCGGCGCCUCACUAGAGGGUGGCCGAUCGGGAGCUCUGUGCUUCAAACCGUCUUCGGACAAUCUCUGACA
rnacentral:misc_RNA from 1 species